UACAGAGGUCCCAAGCGUUGUUCGGAUUCACUGGGCGUAAAGGGUGCGUAGGUGGCCAGGUAAGUUCGGUGUGAAAGCUCGGAGCUUAACUCCGAAAUGUCAUUGAAUACUAUCUGGCUAGAGGGUCGGAGGGGAGACUGGAAUUCUCGGUGUAGCAGUGAAAUGCGUAGAUAUCGAGAGGAACACCAGUGGCGAAGGCGAGUCUCUGGACGACACCUGACACUGAGGCACGAAAGCUAGGGGAGCAAACAGG
rnacentral:rRNA from 1 species